GAUGAACGCUGGCGGCGUGCCUAAUACAUGCAAGUCGAGCGAACGGACGAGAAGCUUGCUUCUCUGAUGUUAGCGGCGGACGGGUGAGUAACACGUGGAUAACCUACCUAUAAGACUGGGAUAACUUCGGGAAACCGGAGCUAAUACCGGAUAAUAUUUUGAACCGCAUGGUUCAAAAGUGAAAGACGGUCUUGCUGGCACUUAUAGAUGGAUCCGCGCUGCAUUAGAUAGUUGGUAAGGUAACGGCUUACCAAGGCAACGAUGCAUGGCCGACCUGAGAGGGUGGUAGGCGACACUGGAACUGGGACGCGGACCAGAGUCCUACGGGAGGCAGCAGUAGGGAAUCUGACGCAAUGGGCGAGAGCCUGACGGAGCAACGCCGCGUGAGUGAUGACGGUCUUCGGAUCGUAAAACUCUGUUAUUAGGGAAGAACAUAUGUGUAAGUAACUGUGCACAGCUUGACGGUACCUAAUCAGAAAGCCACGGCUAACUACGUG
rnacentral:rRNA from 1 species